rnacentral:sRNA from 12 species
AAUCGGCGUACAGUACAGGGGACGUGUCCCCAAUGCGGUGCCGAGGGAGGCAAGCCCCAGCAAAAGCAUCCUGAUGGAUGGAAAGCUGAAAAAUCACGUGUCGGGUGGAGUUUGGUAGGUCAGCAGUGAUUCGAAGAAGUCAGGCCCG